ACCUGUCUGGCUCAGUUGGUGGAGCAUGUGACUUUUUGAUCUCAGGGUUGUGGGCUCAAGCCCCAUGGUGGGUG
rnacentral:tRNA from 1 species